AUAUAAAAUUUUACCUUAUUGUUUAUGCUAUUUACUCGAUGACAGCUUUGUCAAUUGGCCAUGCAACUGUGGUACCAACACAUUCUUCAAUAUAAGUCAUAUCAGAAGUAGGCCUCCACAAGAAUGUAUCAGGUUUCAAAACUACAUCACCCCAAACUCUCACAGCAUUAGGUCCUAGAGGAAUGUGAUAAACCAAUAUUUUUGGAUCAUUUGAAGAGCAACGUCCUUCUGCUACCUCUUCUCAUGUUUCGGUCCAAUCUAGUAGCUUACACUUAUUGUUGAGUGUAUUAGUGUUUACACUCUUCAACAACACAAAUUUAGGAGCCAGGUUAUAA
rnacentral:lncRNA from 1 species